GCGCUCACUUUGGCAGCACAUAAACUAAGAUUGGAAUGAGACGGAGAGGAUUAACAUGGCUUCUGUGCAAGGACUACAUGCAAAUUCGAGAAGCGUUCCAUAUUUUU
ensembl:snRNA U6 U6 spliceosomal RNA